CAAAGUUUUGGUCCUAAACUUGCCAUUGUUUUUCAUCAAAAUUAUACAUGCAAGCAUCCGCACCCCAGUGAGAAUGCCCAACCCUAACCCACAACAGUAAAGCCGGAGCAGGUAUCAGGAUCAGCCAUAUUCUUGCCAAAGACACCUUGCUAUCGCCACACCCCCACGGGCCCCCAGCAGUAAUUAACAUUAAAAUAUGAGUGCAAGCUCGAUUUAGUUAUGAUUAAUAUGGUCGGUAAAUUUCGUGCCAGCCACCGCGGUUAUACGAAAGACCAAAAACAAUGGCCUUCGGCGUAAAGCGUGACCCAAGACCCGUCCCCCCCCCCCCUUAAAGAGAAACGGCCGCUAAGUUGUAAAACACUAUUGCACGCCGGAACAUCGACAACAUGUCUUUAACUACAAGGACCUCCCCCCUCACGAAAACUAAGAAACAAACUGGGAUUAGAUACCCCACUAUGCUUAGCCCUAAACACAGAUAAUACAAACACAAUAUUAUCCGCCAGAGAACUACAAGCGAAAAGCUUAAAACUCCAAGGACUUGGCGGUGCUUCAAACCAACCUAGAGGAGCCUGUCCUUUAAUCGAUAUUCCACGCUAUACCUUACCCCCCCUAGACAAGCCCAGCCUAUAUACCGCCGUCGUCAGCCUACCUUAUGAAAGAAACAAAGUAAGCAAAACAGUUAAUAACUAACACGUCAGGUCAAGGUGUAGCACAUGGGGCGGCAGAGAUGGGCUACAUUCUUUUAUAAAAAUCACACGAACGGCACACUGAAAUAUGCGCCCAAAGGUGGAUUUAGUAGUAAGAUAAACAAGAAAAGAUAUCUUAAACCUGCUCUGAAGCGCGCACACACCGCCCGUCACCCUCAUCAAUACCCUCAAUAAUACAAAAUAUAAUACUUUGACCCCCCCCCCCAGAUGAGGCAAGUCGUAACACGGUAAGCGUACUGGAAAGUGCGCUUGGAAUAAC
rnacentral:ncRNA from 1 species